UCAAACUUACAUAUUUACUUCAUUAGAUUGGACAAACUGAUUAGCCUUUGACUAUUUUUUCCAUACAUUUGAUGCUAACUGUCGUCAUCGAGCAAAAAUUUGUUUAAUUAUUGGACAAAAUCAAACUUAAUGCCUCAUUGAUGUCAAAAUAAUCAUGAUACAGUGAUUGAGUUUGUUUUCAAUUAUUUGACAUCAAUGAGCAUUGGAGUUUUUGACUCUGGUCAUUGGGAAAAUUGUGAUUAUUGUGGUUUCUUUUAAGGUCUUAGUGACAAAAGUAACCUCAAAUUUACCUGUCACAAUCGAAACGUUUCUAUCUGAUCAUGAGCCCUUUAUUUCAAUCAAUAGAUUGUUUCGAUUAUAGUUUAAUAGCCUCUAACUGCUCAGUAUUUUCAACGAUAAAAUUUGCUACUUUUAUGUAGUCAAGUCAUAAGUUUAAUACAAUUUCCAAUUAACCAGACUUAAUAGUCACCUUGCUCUUUAACCAAGCCAUGUUUGAACUUUGAUUAAACAUUCAAUUUUAAUUAUUAAUUACGCUAAUCUAAUGAAAAUCUUGAAUCUUACAACUUAAAACAUGCAUAGGCACACCUUAUUAUCAUGAUAACCUUGGUAAUUAUAAUAAUAAUUAAUAAACAAAAUCAACCAAAGGGAAUAAACAAAAUCUGGUUUUAGGUCAAACACCAGAACCUGUUGCUAACCAUUUUUGGUGACAAUGAUUAUCAAUUAUUAAACAAUGAAUAUCGAUCCAUGUUAUUCAACAGAUAAAAAGUCGAUUAUCCAUCGAACCUUUCGUCAAUUUUUCUCAGUUCAAGCAAAUAUAUUGCUCAAGAUCUUGUUUACAGUUUCCCAACACUCAAUUAAUUGCAAUUAAAUCCAAUUUCAUGCAGCGUCUCGCAGGUUGGUUUGAAAUAAAAAACAAAAUCUACUAACAUAAUUUUAACCUUGCUCAAGUCCAUCCACCUUAAUCAGUUAAUUUGAUAUCAAUGUUGUGCAAUUGAAAAUUUUCAAUUAAUUACAAACCAUCAGAAAUGAAAUUGAAGAUGAAAGCUCAACAAUUUAAACCAUAAAUAUUACCUGAAAGAUGUUUAAGAAAUGGUUUUCAUUUGCCAAAGAUCAAGCCUUGAAUCAACUUCACCGGUCCAUUAACAAUGCAUUUCAAUGAUUAACCAAUCAUUAGAUAAUCAUAUCGUUUUACUGUUCAUUUGUUUGCUAUUUUCAUCUAAUUGUAUUGUAUCAAUCAGGUUUAUAUGUAAAUAAAUGAUGAAUAGCCUUGGAUUUGGAUUGAAAGUUCAAUCAAAAUGCUCAUGGUGAUGGUGAUGAUUAAAGCUUGAAACCCAAAGGAGUGCCUCUUUGACUGUUUUAUUGAAACAUUGAAUCUAAAUUGUGAAAUCAAGAACUAAAAUAAUAGUUACUAACUUAAUCCGAUUAAUUAACCUUAAACACCGAGCAACUCAUGAUAAUUCAUCAUAUAUUUACUCUCCAUAUCAAUCAAUGGAAUCAAACAUUGAUAAACAUUGAUUUUUUAACAUAAUUUAACCAUUAAUUUGUUUAAUUUCUAGACUUGAUUCCUAUGUAUUUCAUAUCAUAUAAUUGAUCAAUACAGUUAUCUAAUGCAAAUUUAGCGCUUUAGGUUCUGAUUAGUCUUUACUAAACGUCUAUUGGUUACCCUUUGAAGCUCCCUUAGUUACAUAACGUAAUACCUUAAAACCAGUAUUUUCACAUGUUUACAACCUUGAAAGUCUUACUGUCGGCUGAUUUGAUCUUAUAUUUAUUCAAAUAAUGAUCAAUCAAAUUACAAUAUCAAUUAAGAAUGUGUUUACUUUUGAAUUAUACUGUUUUUGUGUAAAUGUUGGUAGAUUAGACAUCAAAAUUGAUAAAGGUUGAAAAGGUGAACUGCUUGUGCUGUUUGCCGUUGGUGUUAUCUUGUUGAAAGUAAAUCAUCGUUAAAUUAACACAAACAACAUUUGAUCAUAUAACUGUGCUUCUUGGAUUUAUAAAUCAUCAGUUGGAUCGCAAAGUUAUGAUGUUUGUUGGUCCAUUACUGGAGGCGCUUUCAACCUUUACUUUCUGUUGGAUGGAGCCAAAGAUUACCAUUUGGAUUGACCAUUUCAUCUUAACGGACUAAAAAAUUGAAAGAUGUAACAACCUGACAAGAAAAGCCUAAUAAUAAGAAGCAAUAUAACGAUGAGUUGAGGGAAAAAAGACAUCAUGAAGAUAACGAUAGGAAAAAAAAGUUGAGUCUUAUUACCUGAAAAUGUUUGGAAAAGAUUGGCAAUUGGCUUGCUGUUGGUUAAACACUUACAGAGAAAUAUUUUCUCAUCAAUUUAUUCCUGGAUCCUCUUGAUUAUAUUUGUCGAAUGGCUGAACAACUUCUCCAUGUCAAGUUAUUUUUGAAGUUUACCCUCCAGGAUUAGCCACUUCUCGUCUAUUACCUUUCCUGGACUGACUGAAAGACUGUAAAAGAAGCAACUUAAAGCCUCUCAACUGUCGGCACCAAGAGUUGAUCAUCGUCCCAAACAAUACUAACAGUAUUUGGUCAUUUAACAAGCUUUUGCUAAAAGUCUCAAUAAAAAACAAGUUGAAAUGCAACCUUUGAUUGGAUCAACAGGUUAACCAUUGGAGUCUUUUUAUUUUCUUGUUUUGCUGUUUAAAACUCAUAACCAAGAAAGUUUUACAAUCAAAUAAUGUCUUGUCCACGCCUUUACAACGUUUUGGUAUUAUCUUGAAAUUAUUCACGCUCUUGGAUUAACCUCUAAUCAUCUACUCUAUCUUCAUCAGCAUUUGUUGAAGCCAAACCGAGUUGACCAAGCCUUUGGAGACUUUAAAAUGAAAAACAACUUCAACAGUCAAAAUAACAAAAGAAUCUAGUAAAAGCCCAUUUCUUGACCAGAACCCAGGAAAAACAAUUUUCUUUGCUUCCUGGUAAUUAUUAAUUAUGGUUCCAGUUAAUCAUGAUUAUUACCUCUGAAACAGAAUUGUCUGUUCCAAUCAAGUUGCUAAUUUUUCAGUUGAAUCCUCAAAAGACGUUUAAAAUCCAAAAGAAUUUUGUUUUCAUCUUUAGCCAAUGUUUUUGGAAAUGAUUUGCUUGCUGGAAACUUUCAUCAUAAAUAUCUCCUGGAAACAUAAUUAAUGUUAAUUGUUGCCCACUAGUUGAUUGUGUUAACUAGAUAAUUGGGUUUAACUUGUAAUUAAAAGGCGUGCAUUCAUGUGGUGAUGAUAUCCUGAAGACAUUAAAUGAAAAAAAAUGAAAUGUUGACUCUAGUCAAAAAUACAGUCAACAAGUCUGGAACCUGAAAUGUAUUCUGAAAUAAUUUAUGUUCAACAAUUUACAUAUUUUAAUGAAUCAAUUGUGAUUAAUUAAUUGGUUAAACAUUCAUAUAUCUCAUUUGACAACCUUUAAGGUAAUGAAGGUUGAAUACCAUUUUAUUGAGCAACUUAUGAGGUUAAUUGCCCAGUAAAAUGAGCAGUAAUCAAAUCAAUUUAAAUCUGUCUUUUUAUAUUACAAAUCUGUAUGUUUGAUAGAAUCUAAAUCAAAUUAAUUAUGAUCUAAUAAAACUAAAUGGUGACUUUAAUUGGAUUUAAAUGGAUGUAAGAGAGAUGAAAAAUGAAAGGAUUUAAUUCUGGUUUUAAGGUUUGAUGACAAUGUCGAUGUUAUAAGAUGAUUAUUAACCAAAUUAAUGAUACCAUAUUAAACUCAAUAAAAUAUGUUUAAAUUUGAA